rnacentral:rRNA from 1 species
AGAGUUUGAUCCUGGCUCAGGACGAACGCUGGCGGCGCGCUUAAUGCAUGCAAGUCGAACGGUGAACCCGCAAGGGGGAUCAGUGGCGAACGGCUGAGUAAUGCACAAGCAACCUACCCCUAGGCGGGGAAUAAUCCACCGAAAGGUGGACUAAUACCGCAUGUGUUGCCUGACCGCAAGGUAAGUCAACAAAGGCUUCGGCCACCUGGGGAUGGGCUUGUGUCCUAUCAGGUAGUUGGUGAGGUAACGGCCCACCAAGCCUAUGACGGGUAGCUGGUCUGAGAGGACGACCAGCCAGAGGGGGACUGCGACACGGCCCCCACUCCUACGGGAGGCAGCAGCAGGGAAUUUUGCGCAAUGGGCGAAGGCCUGACGCAGCGACGCCGCGUGGGGGAAGAAGGCCUUCGGGUUGUAAACCCCUUUUCUAAGGGAAGAGUUUGGACGGUACCUUAGGAAUAAGCCCCGGCUAACUACGUGCCAGCAGCCGCGGUAAUACGUAGGGGGCAAGCGUUGUCCGGAUUUACUGGGCGUAAAGGGCGUGUAGGCGGCAUGGAAAGUCUUCGGUGAAAUCUCCUGGCUCAACCAGGAACGGUCCGAAGAUACUACCAAGCUUGAGGGCAGUAGAGGAGAGUGGAAUUCCCGGUGUAGUGGUGAAAUGCGUAGAUAUCGGGAGGAACACCAGUGGCGAAAGCGACUCUCUGGGCUGUACCUGACGCUGAGGCGCGAAAGCGUGGGGAGCAAACCGGAUUAGAUACCCUGGUAGUCC